rnacentral:lncRNA from 1 species
UCGGCUAUACUGUUUUAAAAAAUUAUUUUAAAAUGGAGAAGAUUUUGUUUUUAUAAAAGAAUUUCAAAAACAUGAAAUUAGUUUCUUUACUUUUGUUUUUUUCCCUACUUCUUUAAUUCAAUAUGUGCAAUUAUGUAAUGCCAUUACUAAUUAAAGUAAUGGUAUUUUAUUUAUUAUUCAAUACCCAAAAAAAAAUUAUAGAAAGUCCACAAAAUAGUUAAUUUCUAUUUACUAAGUCUUUUGUGAAAUCGUUUGGGUGUCCUAAUUAAUUGUCUCCAUUGCCCAAGAGCCC